rnacentral:rRNA from 1 species
UACGGAGGGUGCGAGCGUUGUCCGGAAUCAUUGGGCGUAAAGGGCGCGUAGGUGGCGCGACGAGCGUGCGGUGAAAGCUCGGGGCUCAACCCCGAGUCGGCCGUGCGAACUGUUGUGCUUGAGCACUGUAGAGGCAGGCGGAAUUCCGGGUGUAGCGGUGGAAUGCGUAGAGAUCCGGAAGAACACCGGUGGCGAAGGCGGCCUGCUGGGCAGUAGCUGACACUGAGGCGCGACAGCGUGGGGAGCAAACAGG